rnacentral:lncRNA from 1 species
ACAAGCGGCUGCUGCAGGCGCAGGCGGCGCUCAGCGACGAAGAUGAGGACUGAUUGUCAAUUAUUAAAUGGUUCAUAACAUUUGGUGGUCUGCAUCUGCGACGGGCAGCAGCAGGAGUAGAAGUAGAAGGAGGGAUGGUGGUUUGGGUGCUUUUGAAGAGGUGAGGAGGUGGAGGAGGACCGUGGCGAAAAGGAGGGGAAAGGGGGGGAUUAUAACAGGAUGGUGAAGGAGAAGAGGAAGAAGAAGAGCAAGAGCACUAGACUGUCAUGUUCUCAUGGACAGGGAGAAGGGUGGUGGUAAGGUAAGGGUCUCCUAUGUGGGGUGGUGAGGCCCAUCUGGCAUGCUGGACAGGACACGUAAGGUACAACACAUAAGGUAAUUUUUCGGUGGCCCCUGAUAACGGUGACCUGUACUCCCGACGGGAGUGGUAUUGGUCUUAGUGGCGGUGGACCCGAAAGCAGGUGGUAAUGCGGCCGCCGACUGGUGGUGGUGUUUUGAGGUCAACCCAGGCGCGCGGCGGUAAUCUAGUAGUGGUCGCGUUGACCCAACCGCAAAGGGCUUUAAGAUAAAGGAGCGGAGGUUGCUGUCGCGGUGGCUGCGCUGUACAGAGGGUACGGGAAGCGGGCCAUAGGAAUGGUGCGGCAGAGGCGGGGCCACGGUAGGGCUGGAGGGGCUGAGGAGCCGCGGGUGAUGGUUAUGUGACUUUAUGUGUUGGGGCGGGAAGUGGGGCAAAUGGGUUUUGGACGAGCGUCCAUCACCAUCCUUAAAUAGCGGAGUCUCUCGGCUGCAACGUUUGCAUAUAUGCACAGACAUACACACACGAACACAUCCUCGUGUAGGUGUAGUGUUGAUUCUUAAAGUUCUGCAUUUCCGCCAUCGCAUGUUUCCGCCUUUGCCGUUGGCCCGCCUAUCUUUUUCCUGGAGCGCGGGAAAGGCAGAUCCUGUCCCAACCUCCCGCAUCCCAAACAAAGUCAAGUAGCGUUACGGGGUCGGCCUCCUAGUCCUAGCUGGCGGGACGGCGCGAGAGGCACAUCGGAGAAGGUAGUGUCGUUGGGCGGUAUAUACUGCAGGCGUUGCGUCCCCAGGUAGGCGAGAGCCGCCCUGUGCAUGAGCCGAGCCAGUCGAGCGAAAGUGUGAUGUGCUUGGGGCCAAAAACUGGCCUGGGCGCUUGGGGGUGGUGAAACUGGUGGUGGGCUGCGAACUUGCCUGAGAAGGUGGCCAGUCUGCGAGCACUCCUCAGCAGCUAGUGUUGUAGUCGUGAUUUCCGAGGAGCAAGUUUGUGCGAAGAUGAGGACGCUUUAUUCGCGGGGCCAGCACGACUGGUAGCUGCUUGUUAUGCCAAUUACAUGGGUGCGAACAAAGUUUGCGCCCGCUUGACUAGGAGGUCCUCUUUGCGGUUGCCCUGCUCCAUCGCUACCGCCGUUACGGGCCGUUGGCAUACAUGUACAUAAUAUGGAUAGGCCGCUGCGAGGAGGCGGUGAGGCAGCCCGACAAACGCGUGAUGCGGGGGACGAUUUGAGGCGGAGAGGAGGUCUUAUAAUUGACACGGAUGUAUGUAUCUGUUGCAUAAAAGGAAGGGAUCAUAGCGUGCUUAUAUCUGCAAAAUUGUGACGACCAGGAACAUCCGAACGACAUGGACGCCAAUUUCUGGGUGGUGACAAGUACACAACUUGCCAGAGCCUACAUGAUAAUCCCUGUGUAAAUCAAGUGGUAUU